AAUGAACGUUGGCGGCGUGGAUUAGGCAUGCAAGUCGCGCGACAAGGUUCCUUCGGGGACUGGAGGAGCGGCAAACGGGGUAGUAAGGCAUCGGAACGUACCCUCUCGUCUGGGAUAGCCACGGGAAACUGUGAGUAAUACCGGAUGAUAUCGAGAGAUCAAAGGUCCGCCGCGAGGGGAGCGGCCGAUGUGAUACCAGCUAGUUGGUAGGGUAAUGGCCUACCAAGGCUUAGACGUCUAGGGGGUGUGAGAGCAUGGCCCCCACCACUGGGACGUGAGAUACUGCCCACGACACCUACGGGUGGCUGCAGUCGAGAAUCUUCGGCAAUGGGCGGCAAGCCUGACCGACGCAACGCCGCGUGCGGGAGUGAAGGCCCUUCGGUUGGUAAACCGACCUGUCAGGGGGGAGUGAAAGACGCAAGCUUGACAGAGCCCCACGAGGAAGACACGGGCGUAAGUUCGUGCCACGCAGCCGCGGUAAUGUGUGACUGU
rnacentral:rRNA from 1 species